CAGUACCUCUUCUACGUAUAUUUUCUAUGAAACUUUCAUCCUAUUAGAUCUAUCUCAUAGACUUAUAUCUAUCUCAUAGACUUUUAUAGGAUAUUUUUCAAAGGUCUCUUAUAAAGAAUUUCUUUAGACAACCAUAUUCUAACCAUAGUCAGUAUGGGAACAACAUUCUCAAUCAGGAGGAUGAAAUCCACCAUAUAAUACGAGGAAUAUAACAUCACUCCCAC
rnacentral:lncRNA from 1 species